CGAGAUGAGGGCAUGCUGAAAAAGUUGUAGAACGCAUCUGAUCCUGUUCGAUUAAUUGGAAAUGUCAACAAAACCAUCAACAGAUCCCUGUCAAAAAUAUGCAUGCAAAAUACAGACUUGCUUACAAGCUAUGAACUAUCAAGAAGACAAAUGCGAGCUCGUGAUUGAUUCCUUGGUCGAGUGCUGUGAGAAAUAUGGAGCGAGGUAUAACUGUUGCUCGGGGUUCCUGAAAGGCCAAAGAAAAAGGAACAAACCAAUCAAAGACUCUUCCGAAGGCUGUAGGUGACGAACGGCCACAUCUUAUAUGUACACAGUGAUAUUUAAAAUUAUUUACAUGAAUGCAAUGUUUAUCUUGUAACGUGUGUUCAUAUAUUGGUAAAUAAUAAUAUAAAUUAUAAAAAUUGAAAAUGUCAAAAUGUAACUUAGUAGAUCUAGAGGAAACAUUGAGGGUUAGUGCAGGGAGCUCGAUUUACAACUCGGUAAUCGGUGUUUAAGAGUUAUUGUCCUGUGUAAUUCUCACGCGCAGCGCCCAAUUACACAGUCAUAGAGUAUGGUGCUGAUCAUUACUAAAGGAAUUAAAGGAUUGUAAUGAAACAUCAAGUAAUGCUAUAAGACUCUGAGAGGAAGUUUGGAGUACAAGAGUCAUAAUGCUUUAUGAAGUCAAGUGUACUUGCUUAAUUCUCUUGUGCAAAUCAUUACUUUAAGUACACGAUUUAUUGUAAAAAAAUAUCUUGCAUAAAUAGAAAACAUUGAGAUCUCUACAUUUCAAUACAUAAUAUUAUCUUGUAUGUUUUCCCGCAUAAUGAAUGUCAAAAUCAUACUUUUUGGCAAUAAAGUGUUUCUUCGGGGA